CACACACACACACACACACACACACACACACACAGAGAGAGAGAGAGAGAGAGAGAGAGAGAGAGAGAGAGAGAGAGAGAACGAGAGAGAGAACACACUGUUUUUCUCUCGAUGUCUCUAUACCUUACCCAGAACUCACUUGAGGAUCUCCCCUCUAGAGCCAUUUUCACAGCCUCUGCCAGGAAUCACUUACCAAGUAUUUCUGAGCAACUGAUGGUGAUUCGGGAAAAUGUUUCAUGAAUUGGACAUGAAUAUCACGAAACAACAUUAGCUCUCGUUUCUGAGUGUACUGUGUAACAAGCACCUUGUUAACUAUCCCACAGACCUUACGCCAUGGCCUCCUUGACAGAACCCCAGCAACAGCAGCAAGCAUAAAGGCCCUGAAGCUGGACUGUGCUGGGCAUUCAGGAAACAGCACCGGGCAGUGGUGGCUGCAACACCCAGAACAAAGAGGAUACAGUGAAGGGGGCAAUUGAGGCAGGUGGGGCUGGUGCGGAUUGAGUCAGGCUUUUUAAUCUGCUGAAGGAUAGAUAGGGUUUUAAUGAAGACUGUGUUGGGGAGGGGUGGAGACCAGAAGAGUGAUAUGGUGUCCAGAUAAGAUCAACUCUGCUGGUGGCUGGCUGAGAACAGACUGUAAAGGGGAGGUCAGGGCUCUUGAAGGGAGGUCAACAGUUGACCGCUGCAGCCAUCAGGAAAGCUGACGAUGCUCAGCCUAGAGCAGUGGUUACCAACUACACGGUUCUUUCCCUUUGUGAAACAUCCGGCAAUGUCUAGGGAUGGUUUGGCUUCUCACAGCUUAGAGGGAAGGGAGACUGGUAUGUGUUCCUAGUGGGUAGAGAGAUAUGAUAAAUGACACCUCAGAGUGUCCGGCUGCCUCCCCUUUACAAAGAAUUAUCGAGCCUGGGCCUCGAUGUCCCUAGAGCUGAGGCAGAGGAACUGGUAUAACGUGGUAACUGGUAUAAGGGGGAGGGAUGACCAGCUUCUGAAUAGGUCUCGAAGGUAGGACCAGGGGGCUCUCAGUAGACUGCAGAUGGGCUGUGAGAAACAGAAAGGGGCCAGGGGUGGUUUUCUGUUUGUCACAGGAGCAGUGAAGAGUGAAGUUUCUGAGAUGAGGAGGAGCAGAUUACAGGAGCGAAGCCAGGAACUCAGUCCCCAUCCCUACGGGUCUCCUCCCAUACUGCUAGUGGAAAAAAAAAUGCAUAGCUAAUCCAAAGCAGGGAACCCCAUGCCCAGUUGUUUCUAGUUAACUCUGAAUUGCAUUGUCUACGCCUCCUGCAGCUUCGCUGCCUUGCUUGUCUUUUCUAUUACUGCUUUUAGUUAAUGGGUUUCAUUAUGAUAUUUUCAUACAUGUGUAUCAUUGUUCUUUGCUCAUACUCCCCCAUCAUUCUCUUGGCUCUCCUCUCCUCUUCUGACUUAGUCCCCUUCCAGACUCCAGUCUCUUUUCUGUUGUCUUAGAGGAGGACGGGAACAGGAUCCCCAUUCUGAACCACCACAGAAACAAUUUACACAACUCCCAGGGCAGUUGAAACACCGAUCUGAGCUCCUUACCACCAGAGGAGGAAGAGGAAAUAAUGAUAGCUUGAAUCUAUGAUAAGAAAAGAAAAGCUAAAGGACUCCUUACACCCAGAAGAAGGGACAGAGCAAGUUCCACGAAGAACAGACACUUGGGUGGGCUUGAGUGGCUCUUGGCAGUGUCUCAACAAAGUCCAGCUGCCAUAAGCAGGAGAGUGCCGGGGGAAGAAGCUGAGGUUGACAACAAGGGAAGGGACCACCUCAUGCCUGUGCAGGUGCUAUGUGGAUGACAUUCACUUGGACUUCUCCCUCCUUUGGAUUUGCUUGGAAAUCAGCCCAAAAAUCAUAAGGAAUUAUCAUCCUUCCAGGUCAGAUUGAAUAUGGUAUUUAUUAUCCUUUUGGCCCUUCUUCACAUUGGUCACGUGACAUCACUCAAACUGUGGUGGGAAGAUAAAGAAGCAUUGUCAACCCCAGGCACCUCCUCAAACCUUUCUGGAGAGAAGAUGCCAGAUGGAGUACUGGGAGGGAGGUAUUACAGCUAUCCUUGGCUGAUAGGGUGGCUGGAUUUCGAUACAAUCGGUGCUUAGAAAAUUAAGUCAUAAUUAAAGAAGAGUUGGAGGCAGUGAAACCUUAUUCUUCAAACUCCUUGCCCUGGCAAAAUACAAUUCUAAGUGCAUCGAGGUUCACUGAGAUGUGUAGACAUUGGGG